UUACGCGGUUUUAAGUGGGGGAGCUCGGUGGCGCGUAUGGCGGCUAUGAGAAGCCGAUUAGCUUGAGACUGUGUUAAAUUCUCUUGUAGGCGCGAAGGACGGUGGCAGGGACGACGUCGACGAUGGCGGUAGUGGUUCCAAUGGUUACGACGGUGGUGUGCCGGUAGAGGCAAAACGGACGAUCGUACUCGAGGACAUAAUUUACGCUUGGGAAAGGGCGAAGUAGCGACAGCAUUAGUAGCUAAGUGGGACCCUACGUUAUCCUAUAUCCCUUGUGGAGGAUUGCACCUUUGUGAGAGCUUACGUGCAUGCACGAAUAUACGUAUGUAUCUCUGCUACGUUUGUUUGAGUAGGUAUAUGUAGAUAUCUAUGUAUAUACUUAAAUAUAUAUAUGUAUGUGUGUAUACAUAUAUGGACGAAUCCUCUCCUUCGAAGCGAUUCCUAUCUGCAGUGGGCCACUCGCCACGAUGGAGAACACCAAGAACCAUACAGAUUACGAUCUUCCAUCCUAACCACCGGGACGAGAGCGAGCCUUUAAGGUACCCACGAGCAGCACUCAAUUCAGAUAAUGGAAUGACUUGAUCGUACUACCACCACCUUCAUCACCAACACCGCCACCGCCACCACCAUCACCACCACCACCACCACCACCAGCACCAUCACCAUCACCAUCAGGUUCGUCUUCGCGCGUACACCGUCCAUCAGCCUCAAGGCCUUUUACCCAGGCCGGAAUAAAUUGCCAUGCAGGGUGCGGCAUUUCCAACCAGCUUACGCCGAUUCCGUGCUUGUAUACCACCUAAGUAUCCGCGAUUGGUAUCCCAUUUAAGGUGGCUUUCAUUCUCAUUAAAACCACCGCGAUCGAACGAAACGCAUUUAUUAUCCUCUUCCUCUUCCUCCAUCUAUUCCCCACCUUCAACUCUUUCUUCAUUUCACCCAUACGUUUUUCCACGUUACGGAUACGAACAUGGCAUUUUUCUUUCGAAAUUAGAUGACAUUUGUUUUUAUAUAAAAAAGAAGAAGGAAAGAGAGCAUUGAUUUACUUACGGAUAGAAAGAAAGAAAAAAAGAUAUAUAUAUAUAUAUAUAUAGAAAGAGAAAGAGAGAGAAAGGGAAGAAUCCGUCCUAGAUUAGAAGAGCGUUUUUGCGCAGAAUCACUCUGUGAGAGAUCUCACGAGACGAGUAUCGUUUUGCCAACGAGAUAACGCACGCCUUCGGUGCCUCUUUCACAAUCACGAAAGACGCAUACCUAUUUACGUAUAUAUGUACAUUGUGCAUACGUAAGUAAGUAAGUAAGUAAGCAAGUAAGUAAGUAAGUACGUAUACAGUACAAUACGGACAAAUCGAAAUCGAUACGCAGCUUCUUCUCGCUCGAGGAUAAUUUCAAGUUGGAUCUAUGAAUCUUCCUCUUUUGCAUAUUCUCCUUCCUUCUUAUAACACGUUGUUAUAUUCAGAAUAUACCCCGACAUACACUAUUAUUGCUUUUCAUUUUAUGUAUGUACUCUUCAACGUAAAAUCAUUUAGUAUCGCAUUAUAAAAAAGAAAAAAUAAAAGAGAGAGAGACAAAGAAUGAGUAACAGUGAGAAAGAUAUAUAUAUAUAUAUAUAUAUAUAUAUAUACACACACACACACACACUAUAAAGAGAUUGCUAUACCAAGAAGACAAUGGUUUAAAUUUGAAAUAUAAAAAGUAGAGGAUGAGCUGGCAAAAAUCAUUCAACGAGGAUGGAAACUAACUCGUGAUGGUGUUAAACGAAAUAGAAGGGGGAAAAAAGGAAAAAAAGAAGAAAAUAAAAGAUACAAAGUGAGAGAGAAAGAGAGAGUGAAAGAAAAAGGGAUAGCUUAAAAAGCGCAGCGUGGCGAUGGCGGACGGAACGAUCUAACUCGGCUUAACUACAUAACUACAUCUUUCUUUUACGUUCCACCCGAGUAGGGCCCGCGGCCACUUACCUUCUUCACCCUUUGCCAGCUUCGCCCUCUGUUCCUUUCCCUUUCUCUCUCUCUCUCUCUCUCUCUCUUUUUCUUUCUCUCUCUCUUUCUUUCUUUCCUCAUCCGUACGACUUUGUCUUCUCCUGUUUUCUCCCUCUUCUCUCCUUUCUCAUCAGCCAUCCCCCUUCCCUUCUUACGUCCGCGCUAUAUCUUUCUCUCCCUCUUCCUCUUUCACCUUCCACGAUCAUCCCAGUCUCUCUUUUCGUCUCUCUCUCUCUCUCUCUCUCUCUCUUUCUCUGUAUCUGUAUCUAUCUCUCUUUCUCUCCUUCUCUCAUACUCUCUUUCUCGUUCCUACUCUUCCUUCCUCGUUCGUUGCACCGCCUUUCUGCGUUACGGUGCGAUCCAGCGGAGUCGUCGGCACGGAAAAAAGGCGGCCCUAAAAGAACUUCAUAUUUUUUAUGCCCUGACAGCGACUUGGGUGGUCCAAAAUGGCCGCCCAAUGAUGUAAUAUAGUGCUCUCGCUACGAGCCAUCUCUCUCUCUCUCUCUCUCUCUCUCUCUCUCUCUCUCUCUCUCUCUGUUUCGAAGAGAAGAUGCUCAAAGUGAACGCGUUUAAAAAUGCAAACUUUCUUUUCCUUUUCUUCUCCUCCCACUUUCCGCGCCUCUGGAAAACGCAGGUGUUUAUAAUGUUACCCUUGUUGUUAUUUGCAAUCUAUGUAUAUCGAAAAUGGCAAAAAUGGCGGACAGCCAACGUAUACACGGUUACGUGCAAGAAAGACUUUCGUGGACCAAGAUCGAACGCGUUGCCUUCCGGCGACGGACGAUAAUUGUCUGCCGCGCGUGGACGGUUAAUAGUAUAGGUGUACCGAGGCGCGAACUCUUCUCCCGCAUCAAUAACGAUGAAGAACGUGUUAAUAUCGUGUCGAGAUAGUUAAGCGUUAGGUUUCACGUACGUUAGCUUAAAAAAACUUUUUGAGAUAAGUGUAAUAAGAAGAUAGUUAUACGAGCGUGAAAAUCGAUUGGUUGUAAUUUAAUAAAGCUAAUAUAAAAAAUA